rnacentral:rRNA from 1 species
GAUGAACGCUGGCGGCGUGCCUAAUACAUGCAAGUAGAACGCUGAAGCUUGGUGCUUGCACCGAGCGGAUGAGUUGCGAACGGGUGAGUAACGCGUAGGUAACCUGCCUCUUAGCGGGGGAUAACUAUUGGAAACGAUAGCUAAUACCGCAUAAAAGUCGACAUUGCAUGAUGUUGACUUGAAAGGUGCAAAUGCAUCACUAAGAGAUGGACCUGCGUUGUAUUAGCUAGUUGGUGAGGUAACGGCUCACCAAGGCGACGAUACAUAGCCGACCUGAGAGGGUGAUCGGCCACACUGGGACUGAGACACGGCCCAGACUCCUACGGGAGGCAGCAGUAGGGAAUCUUCGGCAAUGGGGGCAACCCUGACCGAGCAACGCCGCGUGAGUGAAGAAGGUUUUCGGAUCGUAAAGCUCUGUUGUAAGAGAAGAACGAGUGUGAGAGUGGAAAGUUCACACUGUGACGGUAACUUACCAGAAAGGGACGGCUAACUACGUGCCAGCAGCCGCGGUAAUACGUAGGUCCCGAGCGUUAUCCGGAUUUAUUGGGCGUAAAGCGAGCGCAGGCGGUUAGAUAAGUCUGAAGUUAAAGGCUGUGGCUUAACCAUAGUACGCUUUGGAAACUGUUUAACCUGAGUGCAGAAGGGGAGAGUGGAAUUCCAUGUGUAGCGGUGAAAUGCGUAGAUAUAUGGAGGAACACCGGUGGCGAAAGCGGCUCUCUGGUCUGUAACUGACGCUGAGGCUCGAAAGCGUGGGGAGCAAACAGGAUUAG